UUAAGUUCAGCGGGUAGUCCUACCUGAUUUGAGAUCGAACGUUCAAAGGCUGUCUUCACUAGGGAGAGACAUUUAUAAGCUCCAGCGAACCCCCAUCACUGGAGGUCAUUUGGAGACGACCACGAGCGUAGAUAGUUAUCACACCCAUGAUGCCACCAAACACCGGUAAGCUGAUACAUUUGAGAGGAGCUGACCAGAAG
rnacentral:misc_RNA from 1 species